rnacentral:rRNA from 1 species
CGGUAACAGAGAUAGCUUGCUAUCUGCUGACGAGCGGCGGACGGGUGAGUAAUGCUUGGGAAUAUGCCUUUGAGUGGGGGACAACAGUUGGAAACGACUGCUAAUACCGCAUAACGUCUACGGACCAAAGGGGGGGAUGCUUCGGCACCUCUCGCUCAUUGAUUAGCCCAAGUGAGAUUAGCUAGUUGGUAAGGUAAUGGCUUACCAAGGCGACGAUCUCUAGCUGGUUUGAGAGGAUGAUCAGCCACACUGGGACUGAGACACGGCCCAGACUCCUACGGGAGGCAGCAGUGGGGAAUAUUGCACAAUGGGCGAAAGCCUGAUGCAGCCAUGCCGCGUGUGUGAAGAAGGCCUUCGGGUUGUAAAGCACUUUCAGCGAGGAGGAAAGGGUGUUGUUUAAUACGCAACAUCUGUGACGUUACUCGCAGAAGAAGCACCGGCUAACUUCGUGCCAGCAGCCGCGGUAAUACGAGGGGUGCAAGCGUUAAUCGGAAUUACUGGGCGUAAAGCGUGCGUAGGUGGUUUGUUAAGCAAGAUGUGAAAGCCCCGGGCUCAACCUGGGAACUGCAUUUUGAACUGGCAAACUAGAGUAUUGUAGAGGGUAGUGGAAUUUCCAGUGUAGCGGUGAAAUGCGUAGAGAUUGGAAGGAACAUCAGUGGCGAAGGCGGCUACCUGGACAAAUACUGACACUGAGGCACGAAAGCGUGGGGAGCAAACAGG